GGCCAUGUAUGGAUGAACACUUUAGGUUGGUAGACUAGUACAUGUUAUAUUAAGGUACUCGACAUGUGUUUGAAGCAGUGUCUGCAUUACUUCUUAACUCAUGCAAUAUAUUUAUUUAUUACAACCUGGAUUAAGAGGGGAAUUAAAGGCAAUAGUGCCUAUAAUCAAGUUCUUUUUCAAUGUAAUGUGCAAGUUAAACUCCAGAAAAAUACUUCAAAAUCUGUAUAUACUAUUCGCAGUACAUGCUGUAUUACUGGUAAAUAUCACCAUAUGUUUUUGUAGACUCUUUUGCAGUAAAAUACUACACUAAAAUACUUACUUUCUAUGAAGUUCUUAUUUUAGCAGAAAACUGUGUCGGUUAGUAGGGUGAAAGGAUGAAGAAAUAAAAAAGUCAUUGCU
rnacentral:misc_RNA from 1 species